GUGGGAGCGAGCCUGCUCGCGAAUGCAGUGUGUCAUUCAGCAGUAAUGUCGACUGACACUCCCAUUCGCGAGCAGGCUCGCUCCCAC
rnacentral:antisense_RNA from 1 species